UUCCAGACUCCUACGGGAGGCAGCAGUGAGGAAUAUUGGUCAAUGGGCGCGAGCCUGAACCAGCCAAGUCGCGUGAGGGAGGACGGCCCUACGGGUUGUAAACCUCUUUUGCCGGGGAGCAACGGGCGCCACGUGUGGCGUCACUGAGAGUACCCGGAGAAAAAGCAUCGGCUAACUCCGUGCCAGCAGCCGCGGUAAUACGGAGGAUGCGAGCGUUAUCCGGAUUUAUUGGGUUUAAAGGGUGCGUAGGCGGGUUAUCAAGUCAGCGGUAAAAUCGUGGAGCUCAACUCCAUCCAGCCGUUGAAACUGAUGAUCUUGAGUGGGCGAGAAGUAUGCGGAAUGCGUGGUGUAGCGGUGAAAUGCAUAGAUAUCACGCAGAACUCCGAUUGCGAAGGCAGCAUACCGGCGCCCGACUGACGCUGAAGCACGAAAGCGUGGGUAUCGAACAGGAUUAGAUACCCUCGUAA
rnacentral:rRNA from 1 species